GACGUAGGAUGCAAGCGUUGUCCGGAUUUAUUGGGCGUAAAGAGUUCGUAGGUGGUUUGUUAAGUCUGAUGUUAAAGACCGAGGCUCAACUUCGGAAAUGCAUUGGAUACUGGCAGACUGGAGUAUGGUAGAGGCAAGUGGAAUUCCCAGUGUAGCGGUGAAAUGCGUAGAUAUUGGGAAGAACACCCGUGGCGCAAGCGACUUGCUGGGCCAUAACUGACACUGAGGAACGAAAGCCAGGGGAGCGAAUGGG
rnacentral:rRNA from 1 species